CACACACACACACACACACUCUCACUCUCUCUCUCUCUCUCUGUGUCACCGCAGCUGUACCACGAGACGAACAGAAGACUUCCAGCUUGUGCAGGUGAACGCACGCACAGUUGAAAGGUGUGUUAACUCUUUGGUGCCGUGAGCAUCGCCUGCGAGUUUCAGCAUGGUCAGGUUCACUCAUGUCCUCUUUUUCUCUUUACAGCAUGAAGGGAUUUGAUGUUACACACACGAAUGAAACACUGAGAGAAUCUGUAGAGUCUCAGCUUUCAGACGAUCUCACAUGUGGAGAACAUGAACAUUUUAUAUAAUCUCUAAAUUGUAGAGAAGUUGCAGUUUGUUCCUGUGGUGAAAAGUGAAAGUAAUGUGAAACGUGGUCUCCUCCUCCUGUUCACAUAUUAAUGACAUGUUAAUGUCUUUCAGGAGCAGGACAGGUAAAUCAGGUAAAUCAGGACGGGUACAUGCUGAUGGAGGAACACAGGCAGACUUUUGCACAGGAACCUUCUGGUGUGUUACAGUAAUUCUGGUAAAUUGUGUACUGACUUAUGAUUGUGCACUAAAUCCCUACAAUACAUGUUCCUUUUAUUCUGAUGUUAAAUUGCUGAAAUAAGUGUGUGUGAGAAUGACCUACAAUAAAGUGAUGAAAUGUG